UCUACUUUGCAGAAGCACACUAAAACUGGCGUGAUUGCAUGGGCAAUUCAUCCAUUGGACAACUGUUCUUAAAUACAGGAAUAAUUUUUAUCACGCAGCUACCGAUGAACCAACCCCUCUUCUAGGAUUAAGGUGGAUAAAGCAGGGGCCACAGUUCUAUUUCAAGAGGCAACAAGGGAAGUAACAAUGUUGGAGUUGUGGUGAACCCAGUCCGUCUCUCCAGUCUUGGAGAAUUUGGGACUCCUCAGUUUGUUGCUGAGAAGCUUAUUCAAGUCAAAAAGCGCAAGAGGUGGGUUCUGAGUCUCAGCAGCAGCGACAGUAGGAAGAUUGACAUGAGUAGUCAAAAGAAGAUUCCGGUGGAUCAAUAACCAGUACCUGAGAUCCCAUUUCCGGUGGUGGAGAUUUUGGCCAUGGCGUGACCCUUGCUGGAGAAAAUGGCAGCUAUCAUUCUCUCAGUUUUGGAGACUCCUUUUCAGAAACACCAUGACUGUUAACACUCCCAUCUUGGAAGCUAAUGCAAGAGUUGUGGGGUUAAACAGGUUUAGCAGUUUUAGUGUUAAGAGAGCUGGAUUUAGAGUGGAAGUGUGAAGCAUUUGAGUUCAUGUAUCCGGUUAAUUGAGUAAGAAAAGGAAAAUGACAGAUAGAAAGAGGACUAAAUGACAAGAUGGUCUUGAAAUAAGGUAAAGGUUUUGUCUCUGUGUUUUUUGAGCUGGAAUUUGGGGGCUCAAGAGGAAAUUAGAAAACGAUUUUGCUAGUAUGACUUUAUUCUUUUAGCAAUAUUCAUCUUACUGAAUUUAUUGGAUAUAAUUAAAACCUUUGAUUUCACGUUUUG